GAUAAAUCAAUGACGGGAAUAAAAGAAUAAGAAUUCGUAUUUACAGAGAGCUGGGGUUGCUGGAAGCCCAGUAAUACAACUUAUUCUGACAUCGUCCCUGAGUGUUGUGCCGAACAGUCAUUUCUAAGUAGGCUCAAUCAGGUGUUUCUACUUAAGCACCUGUUACCAAAAGAAGCGCAUCUUUCCUUUAGUAUUCGCUUCCUAAGGCAGUAUUCGUGAGGAUACUGUAAAAACCGGGUGGUACCGAGAAAAUGAAGACCCUUUU
rnacentral:ncRNA from 1 species